AAAGUACUCCCUCCGUCCGGAAAUACUUGUCAUAAAAAUGGAUGUAUCUAGAUGUAUUUUAGUUCUAGAUACAUCCAUUUUGAUCUAUUCCUCCGACAAGUAUUUCCGGACGGAGGGAGUAGUUA
rfam:Triticum aestivum genome assembly, contig: Triticum_aestivum_CS42_TGACv1_scaffold_050365_1BS